UGGCAAUGAUGUUUUAGAAUUCUUCACCUGAUGUAAAAACUGAAGAGUAUAAUUUUCUGAGCUGU